rnacentral:lncRNA from 1 species
UAUAAAUAAAAUUCUCUCUCUCAAAAAAAAAAAAAUGAACUAAGCCCUGAAAGUGCUACUUGCCUGUAAUCACAGCAACUCAGGUGGCUAAAGCAAAAGCAUUGCAAGUUCAAGGUCAGACUAGGCAACUUAGCAAGACCCUGUCUCAAAAAAUAAAAAGCUGGUGAUGUAGCUCAGAGGUAGAGAUUCUCUGGGUUCAAUCUCUAGGUCCUGCAAAAACUAACAAACAUAAAUAAUAGCAACAAAACCUACUUCAAAUAGAGAGAUAAGAACAGAAAAUAAUGUAUCAGACAACCAUGUCCCACAACACAGAAUUAACAUGUCAAUAUUUGCCUUAUUUGUUUCAGUCUUUUAUUUUUAAGACCUAGGCCAAGUACAGAUAUAGAUAAAAUCUUCUCUCUACCCAUCCACUCUCCACUUCCAGAAGCAAUCACUCCUGAGAUUCAUAGGCUUACUGUUUUUUAACAUGCACUAUUAAUUAAGUCAUGUUUGAAACUUGCUACUUUUCACUGAACAGUUUUUGUUUUAACUAUAUUGAUUUAUGUAGAUCUACUUUCCCUAUUUUAACCACCUUUAAUAUUUCAAUUUAUGGAUAAACCAUAGUUUAUUCAUUCAUUUUCCAAAUAAGAGAUACCAAAGUUUUUUCUACUCCAUGUUUUGGACCUGCCUGUGGAAGCACUAUUGAGUGGGUGGCUUUUCAAACACAUAGUUUCCAACUUUGGAAAAUGAGCUGCCAAAGAGAUUUACAAAUGUAAUUUUUGAAAAGGGAUGUAGAUUAACAAGUUAUUUAUUUAUUACAGAUAAAACCAGAUCUAUCAAGUUGUAGGUAGAAAAUUAUAACCAAGCAUAAAAUGUAUGUUAAUUUCUUAACAGUUUCAAUUCUAUUAGUUUUAUUUAUCAUCUCAAUUGAUUUAAACAUUUAGGCCCUGAUAGCUGGAGAAUUAUACCGGAAAGUCACUAUGUUGCUCAAGAACCCUAAUCUUCAUGUGACAUCCAAUUAAAUAGCAGCUAUUUGGCAUCUUUCCUGCGCACCCCCCCCCCCUUGUUCUAAGAAUCCUGAUCUCAUUUUUUGUCUCAAGAAGACAAGUAGUAGAUGAAUUCUCAUGCCAAUAAGCAAUUCUGUAGUAAAAAAUUAUAUGACGGAUGCUUGAAAGGUCAUGGCUCUGACCUUUACUUGCCUUUUUAAAGUAAAAUCUGGAAAAAGGAAAAUUAAAAUGCAUCUGUUAACCUUAGUCUCUUGCCUAGUGCCAUCAGCCCAAUGUACUUUUGUGAUUUAAAAAAAAGAGAUUAUGGAAAAUUAAUUUAUUUACUCAAUAUAUAGUGAAUAAUAUAGUGAAUAAUAAUGGGUAUACAGUAGUAACCCCUUAUCCAAGAGGUUUAGUUCCAAGACCCCCGGUGGAUGCCUGAAACCUCAGAUACUAUUAGAGUCUAUAUACACUGUUUUUCUCCCUAUACAUAGAUAUCUACAAUAAAAUUUAAUUUAUAAACUAGGCAUAGGAAGAGAUUAAUAACAAUAAUAUAAUAGAAUAAUUAUAACAAUAUAGUGUAAUAAAAGUUAUGUGAAUGUGGUUCUUUCUUAAAAUAUUGUACUGGGGGCUAGAGUUGUGGCUCAGUGGUAGAGUGCUUGUCUGACGUGUGUGUGGCCCUAGGUUCAAUCCUCAGCACCACAUAUAAAUAAGUAAAACAAAAGAUCCAUUAAUAAUUUUAAAAAAUUUACUGCACUCAACCUUCUUGUAAUGAUGUGAGAUGAUACAAUGCUUACGUGAGAUGAAAUGAGAUGAAUGAUACAUUAUGCAUUGUGACCUAGG